UCCCGCGUAGCCAAGUGGUAAGGCAGACGGUUGUUACCCGUCGCAUCGUUGGUUCGAAUCCAGCCGUGGGAG
rnacentral:tRNA from 1 species